GUUGCACCUGUUGCCCAUGUGCUAAUCAAACCCAUGUGACCGGGGAGGAGAGGACUCAGGUGCAGCUUAUAAGGCUUUGGGGUAGCCUUUGCUCCUGUUUGCUGGUGGAAUACAGUAGUGUUUUGUCCAAGCUCUGUUUUUGUGUGGAGGAGUUGAUGCUUAGGAUCCUUAGAUAGCAGUUUGAGUUGCACCUGUUGCCCAUGUGCUAAUCAAACCCAUGUGACCGGGGAGGAGAGGACUCAGGUGCAGCUUAUAAGGCUUUGGGGUAGCCUUUGCUCCUGUUUGCUGGUGGAAUACAGUAGUGUUUUGUCCAAGCUCUGUUUUUGUGUGGAGGAGUUGAUGCUUAGGAUCCUUAGAUAGCAGUUUGAGUUGCACCUGUUGCCCAUGUGCUAAUCAAACCCAUGUGACCGGGGAGGAGAGGACUCAGGUGCAGCUUAUAAGGCUUUGGGGUAGCCUUUGCUCCUGUUUGCUGGUGGAAUACAGUAGUGUUUUGUCCAAGCUCUGUUUUUGUGUGGAGGAGUUGAUGCUUAGGAUCCUUAGAUAGCAGUUUGAGUUGCACCUGUUGCCCAUGUGCUAAUCAAACCCAUGUGACCGGGGAGGAGAGGACUCAGGUGCAGCUUAUAAGGCUUUGGGGUAGCCUUUGCUCCUGUUUGCUGGUGGAAUACAGUAGUGUUUUGUCCAAGCUCUG